CGUCCUCCACUGCAGUACGUGGUUCCUCUUCUCACCGGCCAACGGCCUCAACGUCAAUGACCAGGUCGUCGGCUUCACCUGCAGCGCAGCUACUUGAAGAGCGCCAUGCAAGAGAACAACGACGCCCAGUUUUUCCCACUCGACGUAGGAGUCUAAUCCGAGUUCUUCCAACCCAUAAGCAGCUGGUUUGGAAGCCCACUAAUCAAGUAAUACUAGGUUUGUGUGACUGAGGAGCAACUCCAUGCGAUGUACAGAAGCAUAUCUGCAGUUUCCCGGAAGACAUAAUCCUUCUUUUCUCCAUUUUUUUGUAGCAUUUAAAACUUUUUGAAGAUGUAAAAAUAGUUGCAUAGUCCAGUUUUCUUGAUCAGUAUAAAUGUUUCUGCUAUAUGCAAAUUUCUGUACAACGAGUGCAUCUUUUAAGCAUGUUCUGCUAGAUAGACCAAUACUUCUAUCUGAAGUAGUAUACACUUCUUUGGC
rnacentral:rRNA from 1 species